AUGCCUGCUAGGGGAGAUACCAUGAAACGAUCAUGAAUCUGGGUUUCCCAGGGCAAGGCUCGUCUAUUACAGUGUGGAUGUACUGACCCCUAAGUAUGGGAAACUUGGCAUAGGUUGUGGUAGUUGGGGACUAUAUUUAUAAUCUUCUC
ensembl:snRNA Gm23753 predicted gene, 23753